rnacentral:siRNA from 1 species
UCGAGGGCCUGCAUUAGUAAG